rnacentral:misc_RNA from 1 species
AUUUUAUUAUUGAAGUAAUAUCAAACUUCGCUGUAGUGUGAUCCCGAGUUUACAAUUCUUGCAUCCCAACACAAAACGCAACAUGCUGUCCAUUGCACUACCGAAUUAUUUCUGUUCUUUUUGUUUGUGUCCUUGAAAUAGAUAGUAUAUGCAUGUAAUGUUAGGUAACUAUUACCUAUUGGAUAAUAAAUGUUUUCAAUUGAUAUUUUGAUGAACAAAUGUUUAUAUGAAAAAUAUGAAAUAUGUGUUAUUUAAUUUAUUAAUUUAUAUUUUUGUCUAUGUGAGUGAAUAAAGAAAUAAAUCUUU